UAAAAAUGACAACAAUCAAUAUAUCAUCCAAAUGAUUCUUCAUAAACCAAGACAUAAGCAAAUCAUAAAGCGUCCAUAGAACAAUUAAAAAUGCAAUAUAUAUUUUAUUUCAAGCACAACAGUUCCCAAAUCUCAACUCCCAACCAUACAACAAUUAAAAGUAUAUCCAGCCCUACCUAAAAAAUUAACCCAGAAACUGAAUCGUAAAUUAGAGCCACCAAUUAACCUAAUACACCAAAAUCAGUCUGAGAAUAGAAAGGUGCAUUUAUUGAGCCAUAAUAGUUACGGCAACCAUCAUUAGGGGCAAUUUCUCAUAUAGAAGAUUCAAAAUCUAUCCACCUUCAUACCUAAAAUUAAUCAAUUUCUCAAAUUCUGAUAGCAAGCUCAUUUUUAAAGCAUUCCUAUAAGCCUAAGAUUCUAAAAGCUGAUUCCAGAAUCAAAUAAAUUGCAUUGCAGCCAGAAAAUAUGCUUGCAAAAUCAAACAAAAUCCAUAAAAGAAAAAGAUACUAAGAUUGUAUAUGCUGAGAAAUAACUCUUCCCAACAGAUCUGAACAAGUUCAUCAAAACAUCACAAUAUCCAAGUUAAUAAUUACUACUAAACCAGUCUCAAAAUCACGUAAUACCCAGUUCUUCAGAACAAAAUUUAAGCAAAAGAAAGAAACAAGACAAUAAAGCUCAAAACCUGAGCUUG
rnacentral:misc_RNA from 1 species